GGAUAAUUGCCAAAACAAAAGUAGAAUCUUAGAAGAGGACAAGCUCUUUUUAUAGCUUGUCCUCUUCUAAGAUUCUACUUGUCAUGUCAA
rnacentral:sRNA from 1 species